GGUCCCUAAUGUGAGUGCAGAGCCUCGUUCAGCUAAAACUAUUUUGAAUUUGAGGCACACAGUGGAACCACAGAGGCUGAGUGGACUGGUUAUAUUAUGCUUUGAGAAUAAACAAGCAGAGUUGUUGAACCUGGAGCAAAUUGAGGAGGACUUCACAGUGCACAAGACUCAGAAUGACGUCCAGACUGGCAUGACAGAGGAAAGAGAAAAAAAACUAAUUUCUCAACGCAGUGGCAGUCGAGUGAAACAAGCUGCUUACUGAAUGAAAACUCCAGCAAGUAUUCAGACUGCAGCUGGAACCUGAGGAGCCCUGUGAAAAUUGUCUCUUGAGCGAAAAACAGCAUAAACCUGGAGUAUUCUUCUGGUCCUGGGAUGGAGGAAACAAACUGGCAGCGGAAAGACUGGAAGACACAGAAAGAAAGAGGAUCGGAGCUGCAUCUUGAAAAUGUGUCAAAGUGACCGUGGUAAAUUGUGUGAGCUGUAAAAAUAAAACCUGUUAAACUGUUCAAGUUGUCCUGUGUGUGUUGUGUGUCGAGUGAACCCACGGGGUGUAGCCCAGAAGCCUACAAUAGUAUGUAAAAAAAAAAAAGUCAAAGUAUAAUAUGUCGAAAA